GGACAUAGUUUAGUGGUAGAGCGCUUGCCUAACAUGCAUGAGGCCUUGAGUUCAGUUCCCAGCACUAUGGUUA
rnacentral:tRNA from 1 species